UACGUAGGGGGGCAAGCGUUGUCCGGAUUUAUUGGGCGUAAAGAGCGUGUAGGCGGCCUUACAGGUCAGCUGUGAAAACUCGAGGCUCAACCCUCGAGACGUCGGUUGAAACCGUAUGGCUAGAGUCCGGAAGAGGAGAGUGGAAUUCCCGGUGUAGCGGUGAAAUGCGCAGAUAUCAGGAGGAACACCCAAUAGCGAAAGGCAGCUCGCUGGGACGGUACUGACGCUAAGGCGCGAAAGCGUGGGGAGCAAACAGG
rnacentral:rRNA from 1 species